GAUCCUGGCUUAGGAUUAACGCUGGCGGCGUGCCUAAUACAUGCAAGUCGAAUGGUAGCAAUACCAUGGCGAACGGGUGAGUAACACGUAGGUAACCUGUCUUUAAGCCGAGGAUAACCAUUGGAAACGAUGGAUAAUACUGGAUAGGAUAUUUUAAGGCAUCUUUUAAUAUUUAAAGAUUUAUCACUUAGAGAGGGGCCUGCGGCGCAUUAGCUAGUUGGUGAGGUGAAGGCUUACCCAAGGCGAUGAUGCGUAGCCGGACUGAGAGGUUGAACGGCCACAAUGGAACUGAGAACGGUCCAUACUCCUACGGGAGGCAGCAGUAGGGAAUUUUCGGCAAUGGGCGGAAGCCUGACCGAGCAACGCCGCGUGAACGAAGAAGUAUUUCGGUAUGUAAAGUUCUUUUAUUAGGGACGAAAAGACAGAUUGACGGUACCUAAUGAAUAAGCUCCGGCUAACUACGUGCCAGCCGCCGC
rnacentral:rRNA from 1 species